rnacentral:rRNA from 1 species
UAAGGAAUAUUGCGCAAUGGGGGAAACCCUGACGCAGCAACGCCGCGUGGAGGAUGACACUUUUCGGAGCGUAAACUCCUUUUAUCAGGAAAGAAUAAUGACGGUACCUGAUGAAUAAGCACCGGCUAACUCCGUGCCAGCAGCCGCGGUAAUACGGGGGGUGCAAGCGUUACUCGGAAUCACUGGGCGUAAAGGACGCGUAGGCGGAUUAUCAAGUCUUUUGUGAAAUCUAGUGGCUUAACCACUAAACUGCUUAGGAAACUGAUAGUCUAGAGUAGGGGAGAGGUAGAUGGAAUUCUUGGUGUAGGGGUAAAAUCAGUAGAGAUCAAGAAGAAUACCCAUUGCGAAAGCGAUCUGCUGGAACCUAACUGACGCUGAGGCGUGAAAGCGUGGGUAGCAAACAGG